rnacentral:tRNA from 1 species
AUGGCUCAGCAUAUAAAGUACGUGCCUUGCAUGCAUGAGGCCCUGGGUUUGAUUCCCAGU